UUCAUUCAUUCAAAAUUAUGUUGUAUUUUUUAAUAUUUUGUGCUUUAUCUAUUUCAAAUGCUUUUAUUGGUAGACAGAUAAAGUUGCUCCUACCAGACGAUAUAAUUGAUACAUUUAAG